CCGUAUAAAAGUUCUCACAUCAGAGAGCACCUCAUUCACUCGUCUUUGCUCUCUCUUCUCAGUGUUCCCAGCUACAUUCAGGGGCUCCCCGCACCAACUGAAAAAUGUGCUCCCGUGGAGACAGAGGCUGCCACCGUGCUGAGAGCUCCUCCUGCCACAGCGGAGGCUCCUCUUGCCACGAUAAGGAGAGAUCGUCCUGCCACGGCUCCGAGGAAGUCAUCUGCCAUGAAGUGAGGCCUGUGCCGGACGUGACACCGGUGGUGGUCCUCCCUCCUCAGGGCCCCGUGGUCACCCAGGUGCCAGUGGCCCCUGCCCCCUGCCAGCAGCAACAGCAGAUCAAGCAGCCGGUGCAGUGGCCCCCGCAGCAGCAGAAGUGAAGAAGCAAGGGCGAGCCCACGGUCAGCGCACACUACAGGGCUGCACUCUUUCCUCUUCUCCUCAAGAUGCAGCCCUGAGCUUGGGCAGGCCCUGCCGCUUCCAUCCAGCACAAAUAGUCUCUCCUUCUCCUAAUAAUGAAAAGUGGGAUUAACAUGUCAGAAAUGUGAUUUAUUCUCUCAUGUUCCAGUAUUUGAAUCCAUUGAUUUCCUGCUUCUGUCUCCAGUAGCAAAGAUAUGAUAUUAAAACCUAAAGCUCACAAAGUG